UGGGGAAUAUUGGACAAUGGGCGAAAGCCUGAUCCAGCCAUGCCGCGUGUGUGAAGAAGGUCUUCGGAUUGUAAAGCACUUUAAGUUGGGAGGAAGGGCAUUAACCUAAUACGUUAGUGUUUUGACGUUACCGACAGAAUAAGCACCGGCUAACUCUGUGCCAGCAGCCGCGGUAAUACAGAGGGUGCAAGCGUUAAUCGGAAUUACUGGGCGUAAAGCGCGCGUAGGUGGUAUGUUAAGUUGGAUGUGAAAGCCCCGGGCUCAACCUGGGAACUGCAUUCAAAACUGACUGACUAGAGUAUGGUAGAGGGUGGUGGAAUUUCCUGUGUAGCGGUGAAAUGCGUAGAUAUAGGAAGGAACACCAGUGGCGAAGGCGACCACCUGGACUAAUACUGACACUGAGGUGCGAAAGCGUGGGGAGCAAACA
rnacentral:rRNA from 1 species